AUUGAACGCUGGCGGCAGGCCUAACACAUGCAAGUCGAACGGUAACAGGAAGCAGCUUUCUGCUUCGCUGACGAGUGGCGGCCGGGUGAGUCAUGUCUGGGAAGCUUCCUGAUGGAGGGGGAUAACUACUGGAAACGGUAGCUAAUACCGCAUAAUGUCGCAAGCCCAAAGAGGGGGACCUUCGGGCCUCUUGCCAUCGGAUGUGCCCAGAUGGGAUUAGCUUGUUGGUGGGGUAACGGCUCACCAAGGCGACGAUCCCUAGCUGGUCUGAGAGGAUGACCAGCCACACUGGAACUGAGACACGGUCCAGACUCCUACGGGAGGCAGCAGUGGGGAAUAUUGCACAAUGGGCGCAAGCCUGAUGCAGCCAUGCCGCAUGUAUGAAGGAGGCCUUCGGGUUGUAAAGUACUUUCAGCGGGGAGGAAGGGAGUAAAGUUAAUACCUUGGCUCAUUGACGUUACCCGCAGAAGAAGCACCGGCUAACUCCGUG
rnacentral:rRNA from 1 species